rnacentral:rRNA from 1 species
AUUGAACGCUGGCGGCAUGCCUUACACAUGCAAGUCGAACGGUAACAGGUCUUCGGAUGCUGACGAGUGGCGAACGGGUGAGUAAUACAUCGGAACGUGCCUAGUAGUGGGGGAUAACUACUCGAAAGAGUGGCUAAUACCGCAUGGGAUCUACGGAUGAAAGCAGGGGAUCGCAAGACCUUGUGCUACUAGAGCGGCCGAUGGCAGAUUAGGUAGUUGGUGGGGUAAAAGCUUACCAAGCCGACGAUCUGUAGCUGGUCUGAGAGGACGAUCAGCCACACUGGGACUGAGACACGGCCCAGACUCCUACGGGAGGCAGCAGUGGGGAAUUUUGGACAAUGGGCGAAAGCCUGAUCCAGCAAUGCCGCGUGCAGGAUGAAGGCCUUCGGGUUGUAAACUGCUUUUGUACGGAACGAAAAGCUCUGGGUUAAUACCCUGGGGUCAUGACGGUACCGUAAGAAUAAGCACCGGCUAACUACGUGCCAGCCGCCGCAGUAACAC